GCUUUCCUGCUCAACGAAAUAGAGCUUUGGACUAUUAAUCCAAGGGGUUGGGGUUCGAGUCCCCAGGAUGGCG
rnacentral:tRNA from 1 species